rnacentral:rRNA from 1 species
AUUGAACGCUGGCGGCAUGCCUUACACAUGCAAGUCGAACGGUAACAGGUCUUCGGAUGCUGACGAGUGGCGAACGGGUGAGUAAUACAUCGGAACGUGCCUAGUAGUGGGGGAUAACUACUCGAAAGAGUGGCUAAUACCGCAUGAGAUCUACGGAUGAAAGCAGGGGGUCGCAAGACCUUGUGCUACUAGAGCGGCCGAUGGCAGAGUAGGUAGUUGGUGGGAUAAAAGCUUCCCAAGCCGACGAUCUGUCGCUGGUCUGAGAGGACGAUCAGCCACACUGGGACUGAGACACGGCCCAGACUCCUACGGGAGGCAGCAGUGGGGAAUUUUGGACAAUGGGCGCAAGCCUGAUCCAGCAAUGCCGCGUGCAGGAUGAAGGCCUUCGGGUUGUAAACUGCUUUUGUACGGAACGAAAAGCCCUGGGUUAAUACCCUGGGGUCAUGACGGUACCGUAAGAAUAAGCACCGGCUAACUACGUGCCAGCCGCCGCCGUAACAC